rnacentral:rRNA from 1 species
GAAAAGAAACUAACUAGGAUUCCCUUAGUAACGGCGAGUGAACCGGGAUGAGCUCAAAUUUAAAAUCUGGCGUCUUUCAGGCGUCCGAGUUGUAAUCUAUAGAGGCGUUUUCCGCGCCGGACCGCGUCCAAGUCUCUUGGAAUAGAGUAUCAAAGAGGGUGACAAUCCCGUACUUGACGCGACAACCGGUGCUCUGUGAUACGUUCUCAAUGAGUCGAGUUGUUUGGGAAUGCAGCUCUAAAUGGGUGGUAAAUUCCAUCUAAGGCUAAAUAUUGGCGAGAGACCGAUAGCGAACAAGUACCGUGAGGGAAAGAUGAAAAGCACUUUGGAAAGAGAGUUAAACAGCACGUGAAAUUGUUAAAAGGGAAACGAUUGAAGUCAGUCGUGUGAAAGGUAUUCAGCCGUCUCUGGCGGUGUAUUUGCCUUUCACGGGUCAACAUCAGUUUGAUCCGGUAGAAAAAGGCGGGAGGAAGGUGGCACCCUCGGGUGUGUUAUAGCCUCCUGUCAUAUGUGCCGGACCAGACUGAGGAACGCAGCUUGCCGCAAGGCCGGGGUUCGCCCACGUACAAGCUUAGGAUGUUGACAUAAUGGCUUUAAACGACCCGU